rnacentral:rRNA from 1 species
CAGUAGCCGCGGUAAUACGGAGGGUGCAAGCGUUAAUCGGAAUUACUGGGCGUAAAGCGCACGCAGGCGGUCUGUCAAGUCGGAUGUGAAAUCCCCGGGCUCAACCUGGGAACUGCAUUUGAAACUGGCAGGCUAGAGUCUUGUAGAGGGGGGUAGAAUUCCAGGUGUAGCGGUGAAAUGCGUAGAGAUCUGGAGGAAUACCGGUGGCGAAGGCGGCCCCCUGGACAAAGACUGACGCUCAGGUGCGAAAGCGUGGGGAGCAAACAGGAUUAGAUACCCCUGUAGUCCCUGUCUCUUAUCA